rnacentral:tRNA from 1 species
GGACUCGUGGCGCAGUUGGUUUAGCGCGCCUGCCUGUCACGCAGGAGGUCGCGGGUUCAAGUCCCGUCGGGUCCG